CCCUUAGAUGUUCUGGGCCGCACGCGCGCUACACUGAUGAAUUCAACGAGCUCCUAACCUAGGCCGAAGGGUCCGGGUAAUCUUUGAAAUUUCAUCGUGAUGGGGAUAGAUUAUUGCAAUUAUUAAUCUUCAACGAGGAAUUCCUAGUAAGCGCGAGUCAUCAGCUCGCGUUGAUUACGUCCCUGCCCUUUGUACACACCGCCCGUCGUUCCUACCGAUUGAAUGGUCCGGUGAAAUGUUCGGACCGCGACAAGGCGGACGGUUCGCUGUCAGCUUUGCUGCGGGAAGUUCAUUAAACCUUAUCAUUUAGAGGAAGGAGAAGUCGUAACA
rnacentral:rRNA from 1 species